AUUGAACGCUGGCGGCAUGCCUUACACAUGCAAGUCGAACGGUAACGGGCCUUCGGGUGCCGACGAGUGGCGAACGGGUGAGUAAUACAUCGGAACAUGCCCGAUCGUGGGGGAUAACGAGGCGAAAGCUUUGCUAAUACCGCAUACGAUCUACGGAUGAAAGCAGGGGACCGCAAGGCCUUGCGCGGGCGGAGCGGCCGAUGGCAGAUUGGGUAGUUGGUGGGAUAAAAGCUUACCAAGCCGACGAUCUGUAGCUGGUCUGAGAGGAUGAUCAGCCACACUGGGACUGAGACACGGCCCAGACUCCUACGGGAGGCAGCAGUGGGGAAUUUUGGACAAUGGGCGCAAGCCUGAUCCAGCCAUGCCGCGUGCAGGAUGAAGGCCUUCGGGUUGUAAACUGCUUUUGUACGGAACGAAAAGCCUUCUUUUAAUACAGGAGGGUCAUGACGGUACCGUAAGAAUAAGCACCGGCUAACUACGUG
rnacentral:rRNA from 1 species